GACGAACGCUGGCGGCGUGCUUAACACAUGCAAGUCGAACGGAAAGGCCUGUACUUGUACAGGUACUCGAGUGGCGAACGGGUGAGUAACACGUGGGUGAUCUGCCCUGCACUAUGGGAUAAGCUUGGGAAACUGGGUCUAAUACCAUAUAGGACCACUUCUUGGAUGUUGUGGUGGAAAGCUUUUGCGGUGUGGGAUGAGCCUGCGGCCUAUCAGCUUGUUGGUGGGGUAAUGGCCUACCAAGGCGGCGACGGGUAUCCGGCCUGAGAGGGUGUACGGACACAUUGGGACUGAGAUACGGCCCAGACUCCUACGGGAGGCAGCAGUGGGGAAUAUUGCACAAUGGGCGCAAGCCUGAUGCAGCGACGCCGCGUGGGGGAUGACGGCCUUCGGGUUGUAAACUCCUUUCGCUAUCGACGAAGCCACCUUUGGUGGUGACGGUAGGUAGAUAAGAAGCACCGGCUAACUACGUGCCAGCAGCCGCCGUAA
rnacentral:rRNA from 1 species